rnacentral:rRNA from 1 species
GACGAACGCUGGCGGCGUGCUUAACACAUGCAAGUCGAACGGAAAGGCCCUGCUUUUGUGGGGUGCUCGAGUGGCGAACGGGUGAGUAACACGUGAGUAACCUGCCCUCGACUUUGGGAUAACUUCAGGAAACUGGGGCUAAUACCGGAUAGGAGCUCCUGCUGCAUGGUGGGGGUUGGAGAGUUUCGGCGGUUGGGGAUGGACUCGCGGCUUAUCAGCUUGUUGGUGGGGUAGUGGCUUACCAAGGCUUUGACGGGUAGCCGGCCUGAUAGGGUGACCGGCCACAUUGGGACUGAGAUACGGCCCAGACUCCUACGGGAGGCAGCAGUGGGGAAUAUUGCACAAUGGGCGGAAGCCUGAUGCAGCAACGCCGCGUGCGGGAUGACGGCCUUCGGGUUGUAAACCGCUUUCGCCUGUGACGAAGCGUGAGUGACGGUAAUGGGUAAAGAAGCACCGGCUAACUACGUG